rnacentral:rRNA from 1 species
UACGAAGGACCCGAGCGUUAUCCGGAUUUAUUGGGUUUAAAGGGUGCGUAGGCGGCUUUAUAAGUCAGUGGUGAAAGCCUAUAGCUUAACUAUAGAAUUGCCAUUGAUACUGUAGGUCUUGAGUACAGUUGAGGUGGGCGGAAUGUGCAGUGUAGCGGUGAAAUGCUUAGAUAUUGCACAGAACACCAAUUGCGAAGGCAGCUCGCUAAGCUGUAACUGACGCUGAGGCACGAAAGUGUGGGGAGCAAACAGG